ensembl:miRNA
AAAGUGCACGCGCUUUGGGACAGUGAGGAAAAUAAUGUUCACAAAGCCCAUACACUUUCA